rnacentral:rRNA from 1 species
GACGAACGCUGGCGGUGUGCUUAACACAUGCAAGUCGAACGGUAAGGCCCUUUCGGGGGUACACGAGUGGCGAACGGGUGAGUAACACGUGAGUAACCUGCCCUCAUCUCUGGGAUAACAGUCGGAAACGGUUGCUAAUACUGGAUAUGAGCUUGCAAGGCAUCUUGUGGGUUGGAAAGAUUUUUUUUGGUUGGGGAUGGACUCGCGGCCUAUCAGCUUGUUGGUGAGGUAGUGGCUCACCAAGGCUUCGACGGGUAGCCGGCCUGAGAGGGCGACCGGCCACAUUGGGACUGAGAUACGGCCCAAACUCCUACGGGAGGCAGCAGUGGGGAAUAUUGCACAAUGGACGGAAGUCUGAUGCAGCAACGCCGCGUGCGGGAUGACGGCCUUCGGGUUGUAAACCGCUUUCAAUUGUGAAGAAGCUUUUUUGUGACGGUAGCAGUAGAAGAAGCACCGGCUAACUACGUG